CUCACUCUCUCUCUCUUAAGAGAAAACAAGUGGGGACCAUAAUAGACAACAACCUCCUCUUGACUUUGAACUACAACUAGAGGGAAUCCCACUAUUCCGGAAAAGCUCAAGGAGAGGAUGGAUACUUGAAGACUUAAAGCAAGAGCUCGCUGAGCUGGGCAUUCCCUUAGAUGACCUACCUGGGUUAGAAGCAAGUGGGGAGUCACUUGAUAUUGAAGCUUUAUUACCAUCCAUCUUUGCUGCCUGCUUUUGUGGGUGUCCUCUGAAUACAAGGACUGUGUUGCAUCCCUGCUCUCCUUCAGCCAUCUCCAGAGCAGUCAACCUAAAGUUCCCUCAAUCAGAACCUAGGAAGAAGCCAGAACCAGCCAUAGUUAAAGCCCCAAGUAAGCCUCCUACUCAAUCAUUUCUUCACACACUGACUGAGGCUAUAUCCCCAGCUCCUCCUACCAGUAGAUCUCAAACUAGGAGCAACCCUCGACAGCUAAUCCCACUGCCAGUUUGGCCCCAGCCCUUUUGUUUCAAGGUCCCCAAAACUAAACCUCAAAGGAUUCACCAUCCUCCUCUUGCAUGUUUAGGUCCCAGAUUCCCAAAAUGGAAAGGGAAAAAAAAGUCCUCUUAGCCUCCGCUGUCAAUUUCUAAUCCCUUUAAAAUAAAGCACAGUAUUUGAUUCA
rnacentral:lncRNA from 1 species